UUUUCUGUUUGUUUUGUCUUCAGUGUUGUGCAAGGAGGAACUUGGGCAACCUUUAAGGACUGGAACUCAUUUAGUCCUAGGUCAGCCCCAGCCUGUUUAGUUUAGCUAGAAUGGAAGGCACAGGAGUUUCCUAGGAAAUGUUGGUUUUCGUUAAGAACCACUGGCUUUCAAAUAAAAUCAGUCAUACUCUGUUUCCUCAAAUCAUGUGCUGGAAGUGUUUCCUGUGAAACUCCAGUGUUAUCUCAAAAAGAAGUGUUAUCUUGGAGUCAACAAGCUUGGACCGCAUUGCUUUAGGUCAGUUUCCCAACUGGGACUGUUUCUGUGUUUUCAGAAUUUCCGUUUCUGCUAAUCUCUUGGAGAAAAAGAAAUUUCAUUAGAAAUAGAAGUCAUCACUGUGUCUGUGUCUGGAAAUCUUGGAGGACUCACCUCGAAUUGGCUCCAACCCUCUCCUGUCUUCUUCCAUUUACUUCUUGGCAAAUCUGCCCCAAACCCCCAGACAGUGGAAUCUUGGCAUCUUUCUCUGGGAGAUGGAGACCCUGCCCACCAUCAAGAGAAGAAGAAAGGAAGAACUUAAAAGGACACUUAGAAGCUCUUUGUUGUGACGUUAAAUGGAAAACAACAAGCUAACAUUUGGUCGUUCUUGGCUGGUUGUCAGCCUCUUUGCAUUAUAAGAGUAAUGACCCCAUUAUCAAAAAAUGUGGAAACUAGAAGUUAAAAAAAUGUACUACUCAUAGACUCAACACCCAGAGUCAGCCAGUGUUGUGGCUUUGUUCUCUUUGAAGACCAACUGGUAACCCAUCUUUUUUGUUGGUACUGGGGUUCCCUCUGCCUCUGACUAGAUAAAUAAGGAUUCCAUUAGUUCUGUCCCUAAGUAUUCUCUUUUUCCAACUCUAGGAUAGAAGAAGGGAGGGAAGGAAACACAGUUUGAACACAUGUUGCUAAGGCUGGACUACCAGCUGCUCGUGUCAGAUGUGCCACUAAAUUUCUUUAGUGUUUCUUUCUUGAUGGUCUUUUGGCAAAGUUUAAUAAUUUGCCUUUUAUAAAAACAGAUUUUUUUUUCCUUUUGGUGUUAACUGUUGAAAAAUAGUGAUUGUGGAGAUUUUGCACAUGAGUACAUUUGUGUUGAUUAAAUUAUUGGAAAACUCUUAAUUUAUAGAUAACAUAUGUUGUUUGUGCAGAUGAUUUGUAAAAGGUUUCCUUUCAAAUGUCUGUAUUGUAUUCAAAAUUAAAUUUCUUUUCUCCAGAAAAGCAACAAGAAAAAUGUAAGACACAUGAGAAAUCCCAGGG
ensembl:lncRNA